rnacentral:rRNA from 1 species
GACGAACCGCGCGAACGUUGUUCGGAAUCACUGGGCAUAAAGGGCGCGUAGGCGGCUCCAAAAGUCAGGGGUGAAAUCCGGCAGCUUAACUGUCGCAGUGCCUUUGAUACUGUGGAGCUAGAGGGAGGUAGGGGUCUGUGGAACUUCCGGUGGAGCGGUGAAAUGCGUUGAUAUCGGAAGGAACGCCGGUGGCGAAAGCGACGGACUGGAUCUCUUCUGACGCUGAGGCGCGAAAGCCAGGGGAGCAAACGGG